rnacentral:rRNA from 1 species
CUGUAAGCCUGUGAAGGUGUGCUGUGAGGCAUGCUGGAGGUAUCAGAAGUGCGAAUGCUGACAUAAGUAACGAUAAAGCGGGUGAAAAGCCCGCUCGCCGGAAGACCAAGGGUUCCUGUCCAACGUUAAUCGGGGCAGGGUGAGUCGACCCCUAAGGCGAGGCCGAAAGGCGUAGUCGAUGGGAAACAGGUUAAUAUUCCUGUACUUGGUGUUACUGCGAAGGGGGGACGGAGAAGGCUAUGUUGGCCGGGCGACGGUUGUCCCGGUUUAAGCGUGUAGGCUGGUUUUCCAGGCAAAUCCGGAAAAUCAAGGCUGAGGCG